rnacentral:lncRNA from 1 species
UGACACUGGCAAAUCGCAGCCUCUGGAAGCUUCAGUUCCUCUUCUGCGAAAGGGCACGGUAUGGCGUGGGGGAAGUUUCCCGGGGGCUGCCCCCUCUCCCCGCCUCCCUUUCCCUUCUCUCGAAAGGAGGUAGGUGUGGCCCGGGUGUGUGUCAGGGUCCAGAAGUGCUGUCCGCAGUACAGAUGCCCAGAUGGCCACAGCCCAGCCCGCAUAGAUGACCGGCCUCGUGGCCCCGAGCCGGAGAAUGGAGUCUUUGUUGCUCUGCCCCCGCUGUUCUGUGGGCCCCCAGGCAGCCUGGUACGGCCUGCAUCCCUCAAGGAUGCCCUGAGUGGGACGAGUCAGUUCCAGGCCGGGACUCCAGGACAGCUGUGCCUUCCAGGGCCCCAGGCCACUCCCCAACACUGUCGGGUCACAGCCAGGGGUGCAGGGCCCGGCUGUCACCCCAUCACCCUGUCUCUGCCAAUCCAGGGUGACCAAUAGGGAAACCGAGGCCCUGGGCAGAGCAGAGGCUCUGGUCCCGCUUUAAGGAGGGACACGAGCUUCUCAGGGGUCUGGCCUAUGGCUCUGCUCAGAUUUGCUAAGAGAUGUGUGACACCUCACUCCUGGCCCUAAAUUGUAACCCUUCUAAGUCAGGAGCCAGUGCCUGUGGCGAGCUGUCCUGGGCAGGGAGUUAGCCGUGAGGUCCAGGAGGCCCCCAGGAGGCAGGGAUGACCACUCGGGGGAGUAGGAAUCCGGCAGAGGUCCGGAAGCCGACCUGUCCUGUGUCUGUGACUGAAGACGUGUCCCUACGCACCGUUCCUAUUUCUGUCAUUCUGUAUGAGGCAGCCCUGGGCGGAAGGCCUGGCUUGGCCUCGGCGGGUGGCUCAGAGGCUGUACCUGGCUAUCCACCGAACGCACAGUGUGGCAGGUGCUGGGCCAGCCCUGAGGCCCGAGUGUGCUUUGUAAAGUGGGGCUGAAGCGGCAGGUGCCUGGCAAGCGCCUGGCUAAUUAAGAGAGUAUUAGCACCCUGGGCAGAGCCCUCUGCUGCCAAGAUGUCCUUGCCAGGAGCAGGGCCGGCUCCUUGGCCAUGGAGAGGCCGCUGGCUGUGACUGGCCUCAGCCUCUCCCCACCCGGCCACCACCCAUGCCUGCUCCGGAGACCCCAUGCCACCCUUCAGGGCGCCCCCCAGCCCCGCCACCCAUGCCGGUGAGACCUCAGCAGGACAGGCCUGUCUCUGGCCUCAGGGCCCGCCGGUCAGACGGCCUGAUCAUCCCUCCACCCCGAGCCUGCACGAAACCCUUUCUUCUGUAAAGGGCCGUGAGUCCAAGGGCAUGAGGUGUUCCCACCUCCGUGAGCUCUGAGCGCUAUUCUAAUGCUCGGGGGAGCGGGAGUGGUGGUGGGGGGCGAAUGGGACAGCCGCCCCAGCACUCCCCUCGCCUCCACUUCACCCACCAGGGCAGCCAGGCAGCUUCCUACAAGGCAAAGCCACCCCUGCCCGUCCCAGUUCAAACUGUCCGUGGCUCCGCGUGCCCAGAGUCCUUGGCGGUCCACCCUCUGUCCCCCUCUCCCACCUCCCUCCCCUCCUCUCCCUGUGACCUCCACCUGCCCCCCUGCUCCCCCAAAGACCCACCCCAGACCUCCCUCACCCCCUCUGGGGGGGCUGCUGGCUUCUUCCCUGAGCGCCCGCAGGGGGACCUCUGGCACCGUCCAUGCCAUGCAGGUCCAGGUGUCCCAGGGGUCAGGGCUGGCCUCUUUGUGUGAUGACGGAAAUGUUCUGGAAUCUACUCUGUUCGAAGCGGGCCUCCUGCACCUGGGUGGCUCUUGAGCAUUUGAAAUGUGGCUCCUGUGACUGAGGAACUUUUCAUUUAGCUUUGCUGUGUUUCAUUUAAAUGGGGAGAGCCACACGUGAUUAGCACCACAGGUUUGGGCAUUUUCAGGCCCCCAGGAGGCUGGAGCAGAGUUGGGGCUUGCAAAGAUGGCCUGUGAGUUGACAGAUGUGACAAGUGUCCAGCGCCUCGGCCAGUUGUCGGUGACUUGGCUCUUUCGUCCUCCUCCUGUCCUCCUCCCCCACGGGCGGGAGGGGCUGUGUCUGUCCCCUGACCCCAGUGCCAAAGCUGCAGCACCCACUCAGGGCCUGCCCAAGCCCCUGACAAAUGCAUCCCUGAGCCCUGCCCCCCAGCAGCCAGGCAGCUCCAGGCAAGACCAAGAGGGACAGAGAAGGACCAAGAGGGACAGAGAGGCAGGAGGGUAGUGAGGCCCCCUCUGCUGCCCGCCUCUCCUGGCUCAAUCUUUUCUGGCCUGCAGAUCCUCCCAGACUCCAGACCCCGACCAUUCCAGAAGUGGGCAUGCGGCCCGCAGACCCACUCUCUGGCUGCUUCCCCAGAGAGCCUGGCGGGGGUGGACUCUGCCCAGCGAGCAAGAUGGUUCAGGGAGUGCCAGCCGCCUGGGGGGUUUGAAAUGCCCACACGGGGAAGUGAGCAGCAUCUACUACCUGCCUGGCUCGGGUAUCCUGCCAGCCCCUUUCUACCCGCUCAGUGCAUGUCCGGGACACUUUGCAAGGGUCCAGGGCAUUGAUGGCAGUGCUCAGAUAGGGACAAGGGCAGUUUGGGGCCGGAACAAGGAGCGCAUCUGCAGGGCGUCUGAGGCAGAAGAAGCUGCAGGUCGUGGGCGCGGCCAUUGGAGGGUCUCCCUUAAGGGUGCCAGCUGCCUUCCGCAGGCCCUGCCCUCCCCACACACCCCUCCACGAAGCCUCUCUGCUCUCCAUCUGGGGUCCUCUCCCAGGGCCUCCCAGGUCGAAUCCUGCACAAAGGCUCUAGGGGGCGGGGAGAGCCAGCUCAAGGCCCCUUAGACAAGCCUGUGCUCUAGAUGGGUGGCUGUGUCAGCCUAGAGGCUCUUUUUGUUUGUUUGUCUCUUUAGGGCCAAACUCCCAGCAUAUGGAAGUUCCCAGGCUAAAGGUUGAAUUGGAGCCGCAGCUGCCAGCCUACACAACAGCCACAGCAACGCAGGAUCUGAGCCACAUCUGAGACCUAUACCACAGCUUGUGACAACGCUGGAUUCCUAACCCACUGAGUGAGGCCAGGGAUCAAAUCCGCAUCCUCAUGGAUACUCAUCUGGUUCUUAACCUGCUGAGCCACAACAAGAACUCCCAGACCGGAGGCUUUUCUUUGUGCCAAAAGGCUAGCCCCAGCCAGGGGAGCAUCCUUCCUAAUUCACGCAACGCCUCUGUCCAGGCCAGCAGAAUUCUAGUCUCACCUGUCUUUCCCUAGGCCAUUCCCGGACCCCUCUGGAAACACCAUCUUUCAGGCAUGCAGUCUUCAGGGCCCAAAACAGAAACCCCUGACUCAACUGGCUAAACAACGAGGCCAUGUGUUACAGCAAGAAAUAAGCCCAGAAGAGGGGACUUUCCCCGGUUGGUUAAUUCUGGUCAUAGCUGGGAAAGGACCCUGGAACUUCCCCCACUCCUCAGUCUGCCCUUCUCACUGAGUCAGCUUUACCCUCAGAGUCACAAAAUGACUGCCAGCGCUCCAGAAUAUCAGCUCCCCGGCAUUACCUCAACUAGGCUUUUGAGUGUUCUUGUGGUGCAGCAGGUUAAGGAUCCAGCAUUUUCACUGCGGUGGCUUGGGUCACUGUCGUGGCUCAGAUUCAGUCCCUGGCCGGGGAACUUCCACCUGCCUUGGGCACAGC